GACGAACGCUGGCGGCGUGCCUAAUACAUGCAAGUCGAACGAACUCUGGUAUUGAUUGGUGCUUGCAUCAUGAUUUACAUUUGAGUGAGUGGCGAACUGGUGAGUAACACGUGGGAAACCUGCCCAGAAGCGGGGGAUAACACCUGGAAACAGAUGCUAAUACCGCAUAACAACUUGGACCGCAUGGUCCGAGUUUGAAAGAUGGCUUCGGCUAUCACUUUUGGAUGGUCCCGCGGCGUAUUAGCUAGAUGGUGGGGUAACGGCUCACCAUGGCAAUGAUACGUAGCCGACCUGAGAGGGUAAUCGGCCACAUUGGGACUGAGACACGGCCCAAACUCCUACGGGAGGCAGCAGUAGGGAAUCUUCCACAAUGGACGAAAGUCUGAUGGAGCAACGCCGCGUGAGUGAAGAAGGGUUUCGGCUCGUAAAACUCUGUUGUUAAAGAAGAACAUAUCUGAGAGUAACUGUUCAGGUAUUGACGGUAUUUAACCAGAAAGCCACGGCUAACUACGUGCCAGCAGCCGCGGUAAUACGUAGGUGGCAAGCGUUGUCCGGAUUUAUUGGGCGUAAAGCGAGCGCAGGCGGUUUUUUAAGUCUGAUGUGAAAGCCUUCGGCUCAACCGAAGAAGUGCAUCGGAAACUGGGAAACUUGAGUGCAGAAGAGGACAGUGGAACUCCAUGUGUAGCGGUGAAAUGCGUAGAUAUAUGGAAGAACACCAGUGGCGAAGGCGGCUGUCUGGUCUGUAACUGACGCUGAGGCUCGAAAGUAUGGGUAGCAAACAGGAUUAGAUACCCUGGUAGUCCAUACCGUAAACGAUGAAUGCUAAGUGUUGGAGGGUUUCCGCCCUUCAGUGCUGCAGCUAACGCAUUAAGCAUUCCGCCUGGGGAGUACGGCCGCAAGGCUGAAACUCAAAGGAAUUGACGGGGGCCCGCACAAGCGGUGGAGCAUGUGGUUUAAUUCGAAGCUACGCGAAGAACCUUACCAGGUCUUGACAUACUAUGCAAAUCUAAGAGAUUAGACGUUCCCUUCGGGGACAUGGAUACAGGUGGUGCAUGGUUGUCGUCAGCUCGUGUCGUGAGAUGUUGGGUUAAGUCCCGCAACGAGCGCAUCCCUUAUUAUCAGUUGCCAGCAUUAAGUUGGGCACUCUGGUGAGACUGCCGGUGACAAACCGGAGGAAGGUGGGGAUGACGUCAAAUCAUCAUGCCCCUUAUGACCUGGGCUACACACGUGCUACAAUGGAUGGUACAACGAGUUGCGAACUCGCGAGAGUAAGCUAAUCUCUUAAAGCCAUUCUCAGUUCGGAUUGUAGGCUGCAACUCGCCUACAUGAAGUCGGAAUCGCUAGUAAUCGCGGAUCAGCAUGCCGCGGUGAAUACGUUCCCGGGCCUUGUACACACCGCCCGUCACACCAUGAGAGUUUGUAACACCCAAAGUCGGUGGGGUAACCUUUUAGGAACCAGCCGCCUAAGGUGGGACAGAUGAUUAGGGUGAAG
rnacentral:rRNA from 1 species